CCUCAGCAAUCCUGCGUUAGUAUGACUAUGGGCUUGGCUGCUGGAGUUUUAAUAGUGUUGUGUGACCUGAUGUAAGACUCUGUCGGAGUACUGCUGGCCUUCAAUAUCUCCUCAUCUCAAACAACGCUGGAAAUGAGUUGUACUUCA
rnacentral:lncRNA from 1 species